UACCAUCUUUUUCUUUCACACCCACAACAAUAAUACAGAUAGCAGACCAAGGAAAAACUCCAUCUUCUUCACAGUAACGGAUGACUGCAACAAUAUAUCACACACCAACACACAUCUUUCAUCCAUAAAUUCUCACACUACACACAUAAUUAUAUAUACACAACAACCAUACACACCAUACCCAUUAACAACAUAACAAAGGCACAUACACAGUGAUUCACGAAAACCAGUAAAACAUAGCAAAGGAGUGAGAGAGAUUUAAGAAAAUUAAGAGAGAAAGGUAGAGAGAAGAGGAAGAUCGAGUGAAAAAAUAAUGAGUUGAACGAAACGGGGAGAACAAUUCUCUCCGACGGACUUUUCACCGGAGCUGCCAUAUCCACUGUCGAUCAAGCUCCUGACCAAAAUCCGUCAUAUUUCUGUCCAAACCAAUCCGAAAACACUGAAAUUGACCUAAUCUGCCCAGCUCUAACGAAAUCGAUCGGAAAAUGUAUGAUACAGUGACGUCAUGCGUGAGUUGGGUAUGAUUUUCUCUAUCAAUUUAUUUUUUUUGGGGUUUGGGUUAGCGAUAAACAAAAAGGGGAAUGGAUCGAAGCCAGGUUUGAUCGUUCCGUUGAGGUUCGGUUUGAGAUUUUGACCGCAGAUCGAGUUGAACAAAGCUUUCUCCAUUUUAAUUGAAAGAAAAUCUUCAAAUUAAGGUCCAAUUCUACUCUUUUCCUCUUUUAUUUUAUUGUCCAUGAUAUUUAAUUGGUGAAAUUGAAUAUUUGUGUGUUGGUUGAUCUCCGUUGGUAAUGAAUUCAUGUUACGUAAAGUUUGUUUUGUGUGAUUUCAUGAUAUUUGAAUCAUGAAUGUUGGUUAAUAUUGGAUUCGGAUUUUUGAAUAUUCGAAUAGAUUGUUGUUGAUUAAGUUAAUCGUUGAUUGAGGAUAAAGUUGGUGGUAAAAAUUGAAAAGCGAUAAAAAAUAACUAUUGCCUCGGAUUGGUUCAUUGAUCAAGUUGAUUUAAAAUGAACAUUAAUCUUAUCGAAUUCAAUAGUAUCAUGUUUAGGUCAAUAUUUGAUAGGCAAAUUUUAGGUUCGGAUAGGCAACUCGUAGAAUUUUAUAUCAUUGAAUGUGUGAAAUUCUUUGGUGAAUGAUUUUUUCAUUUUUACCACAUUUGGAUCAAUUGUAUUGGCCGGGGAAUACCCCAAUGUAUCUGUAUAUAUUUAUUCACCGGGAAAUGCCCCAAGGUAUCUUGUAUUCGGAGGACGUUCGUGAUGAAGGCCCAAGGCAUCAGGUAGAGCAUUAGUCUAGGAUUAGUUUAGAAUAGGAUUUACAUUUUCGUAUUUUUCUAUUUCUGGACUGUAUAAUUUGGACUGGAUAUUGUGUUGGAUUUGUUAUGUUUGAUUUCUUGUUUCGUGUUUAUGUGUUUAUGUGGUUUAUACAUUUUAUAGUGUCAAAUUAGCCGAUAUAGUUCAUGGAGCGACCGUGAUCGAACCACGGGAUCGAGAAGUGCCUAACACCUUCCCUUUGAUAAACAGAAAUUCUUAACCGUAAUCUUUGUUUGCGGAUCAGUUUUAUAGUCAAACCAUUUUGAAAAAGGAUUUUCAAAGGUGACUUGGCACACCCGAUUUAUGUCAAGUGACGAAUCUGAAUAUAAUUGUGAAAUGAAUUCUUUUCGAAACAAAUCUUCAGUUUUGUCACUUUAAUAAUAAAAAUCCUUCCAAACUUUAAAAUUAAUUUCUUUUUGGUAAAAAGGGGGUGUGACAGCUUUGGCGACUCUACUUGGGUAUUAUUCAAAAUUCGAGUUUAUUUUACAGUUGUAUCGACUUAGUUUGGCACUAUAGGAGUACAAACAUUUUGUUUGUAUUGUUUUGUGUUAUUGUUUAUCAUUGUUGAGUGCCUACGUGCUCUUUGUUUACAGUUUUUAUCAUACUUGUUACCGCUUUAUAUCUGACAUCAUGUGCAUAACCAAAGUCAUUCUUUCUGCAACAAGUUCGUAGUACACGUGUUGUACACGACCUCUAGUUGAGUCACCUUUAUUUUAGGAGGGGGAGCCAUCGGUUGUAUGGAGUAGGUGAAAAACAAAGCAACCACUAUCGAUCAUAUAUUCCCCCGAACAACCUUUAGGUUAUGCUUAUGUGUAUCAUAUUGAGACCUAGCGGAGUCCAUUUAGUCAUUUAUAGGUGACUCACCUCUAAAGCAUUCCUACGUGCUAAUUGUUGCAUCUUUGAGGGUAACGAGGUCAUUUGAUAAACUGAUUUGGGAAAAAGCAUGUGCUAGAAUUAAAGAAAGUGUGUAGGCAAGGAAAAGUUCGAAAAAAAGGAAAAGGAAGAAAAGUGAGUCAUAAAAGAGUUUCGUAGUUUUAGAAUUCUUUAUGACUUUUGUUUUCCAUAAUCCAAAAAUUCAAAAAGAUUUUUUUUAUGUUUUGCACUCAUUUUUCAAAAAUCAGAAAAAGCAUCAGAAAGAUUUUCCUUUUGUUCCUUUACCAUGCAUUCAUAAUUUAAAAAUUUCACAAAAAAAGAUUUUUUUUAAUUGGAGCCUUUUAUAAAGGAAAAAUGUAAAAAAUAUGGUGGGAGUUUUGUACAUCUCUUAUAACGAAAAUACCAAAAAGAUUUUUCUUUCAUAGUUGUUGGUGUCAGUUUUAUGUGAGGUGUUAAAUUGAAAACUCAAAAGAUUUUAUUGACGUUGUUCAUCAUCCGUUUUUGAUCGUGUCUCUUAAGUUAGGGUCAAUAUGAUAGUUAAUCUUCAAUUGUUCAAUUUGAACGAACUACGCACCCCUGAUUCUCCUCUCUCGGGAGUGAGAUACGUAGACAGCCUUUCCGGGUUUGGGUAUCUUAUUUAAAAAAAUUCAAAAAAGAUUUUCUUCACUCUUUAUUAGAGUAAGUGUUAUAUAUAUCUUUAAAAGAAAACCAGAAAAAGAUUUUCCGUUAAUAGUUUCAAGUUUCAUUUUGGUAUGAAAUUCAAAAUUGAAAACUCAAAAAGAUUUUUCUUUGGUAAUCAUAGGUUUCAUUUUGUAUAGGAAUCUGAAAAAAAAAUUCAAAAAUAUUUUCUUCACUUUUCAUUUAGAGUAGGUGUUUCAUAUACAUCUUUACAAGAAAAAAACUACAAAAAGAUUUUCUUUUAAUAGGUUUAAAUUUCAUUUUCGUAUGAAAUUCAAAAUUGAAAACCCAAAAAAAUUCUUCUUUGGUAAUCAUAGGUUUUAUUUUGGAUAUGGAUGUUAAAACUGAAAAAAAAAAUCAAAAAGAUUUUCGUCAAUUCUUUUGACAAAUUGUUAUUUUCUUUUCUUUUUAAGGUUUCAAGAAAAAGAAAGAAAAAAAGAGUUUAAUUGGCCAUUUUGGCAAGACUUCAUGAACUACGCACACUUGAUUCCCUUCUCUCGGGAGUGAGAUACUUAGGCUCCCUUCUUGGGUUCAGUGAUCUUUUCAAAAAGAAAAAAAAAAAGAAAAAGGUUUUGGAAAAAAUAUUGAACUCUAGCGUAUUUGCUGUCUAUUGAUUCAUUUAGUUUAAGACAGUUGGUUUGUGGCAUUGUAGCUGGUCCUUCAUAUCAUACCAAAUCUAGGGAAGGUUUAGCUAUGUCCAAUAAGGAUACGGAGAGUGACCUCAUGGAUCAAACAAAGAGGUAGGAAAAUGAGAGUUUAAAGGAAGAGAAUUGGAGACUAAAACAACAAAUGAUGGAAAUGUAUCGAGCUUGAGCCAGUGGGUUGCCUAUCCCUCCAUUUUCUACUAUUGAUCCUACUAAUAUCUCAAGUUUUACAUCAAAAUCGCAAAGCCAGUUUCCUAUUGUUGUUGAUGCACUGUAACCGGACUCAGAAUUCCUUCCAAGCCAACAACAUCCCAAUACUUUAGCACUCUUCCUCUAGCUUCUCAGUAUAAGCCUGCUAUAUUGACAGCACCACAUACUGCCUGUGCUUUUGUUGCUUAACCUUUUACUGAGGCUUCCACUUUGGCUAUCAAUCCAACGGUUGUGCUGCCCUAAGCUACUAGUAGUCUCAUGUUCAAUACUCUUGAUGAUCAUUGCUAUAUUUUUUAGCUCAAAUCAAUGUUAAUUGGAUCACCAAGAUUUCUUAACAAGAAGCCUAGGGAUAAGUUUACACCAAUUAGGGAGUCGUAUGCCAAUUUAUUCCAGACAUUGAGAGAGUUGGGCAUGAUUACUCAUCUUCUUGGGCACUCUUAAUUCUCAUUCAAGAAAUUUUGAUCCUAAUGUACGAUGUGCGUAUCAUUCUGAUGCUCAGGGUCAUAGUAUUGAAGAUUGUCGAGAUUUAAAAAGAGAAAUUGAAAAGACGAUUCAAGAUAGAGAAAUUAUGGUGAAGAACAUUGGCAGUGAGGAAACCUUUAGUCAUGAUGAUAUGCAAACCAGUGGCUAAGUUGUCAGGCUAAGCAAUCGAGAAGUCACCCAUCUCCCUACUAGGAAGAGGUCUGGUAGUUUGUGUUGUUUUCUUUUCUAUUUUCUGAAUUAUUUCAGGGUUGUAGUUUGGGAUCUAUUUUAUUUUGUUCCUUUGUCGUUUAUGUUCAAACCCUUCUAUCUUUUAUUUCAACUAAAUGAAGUUUCCCUCUCCCUUUGUGUUUUAAAUAUGUGUUGUUUGUUUUCUUUAUACAGUAUAUUUUAUAUUUAUUCUAGUGAUAUGACAUGCUAGUGGAAUUUUUAGCAAGAUCUUAAAAUUCAAUUUGAGCAUGAACUUUGAAUCAGAGGGCUAAAAUUAGAAAAGACAUUCGAGAAAUUGAUAGAGUGUUGACACAUUUGGUGAUCAUGUUGAAGCCUUCUUUCAACAUUAAGAUAAUUAUUUUGAGAAUUACAAGAAUAACUUGGCCAUUAAUUAAAAGACAUGUCUCAAUUAUGUAAAAAAUGUAUGAUCUUAUAUCAAGAGGAACAAAGAGAAAAUCAAUUUCACAAAAUGCAUGAGUCAUUCAAUGUGAGGGUUGUACAACAAAGACGGAGUUGUAUGUUUGACAAGUGUAGAAAAAGAGGUGGCACAUGUGCUCAGGGCAAGUUAGUAUUAUAAAACAUGUCAUAAGUGAUAUUGAUCGUGCACUUUCAUAUUGCAUGCUAUGUACUAGCAUUUUAAAGGAUUGAUAUGAUGAAGACAGUUUAUUCUGCUAUCCAAAUGUUGUGUCAUCCUUUGUUUAACCCAUUUGAGCCUUAGUUCUAUUUUCUUUUAUAUCUCUCUUUUGAAAUCAAGAUAGAGUCAGCAAAAUUCAAAAAAAAAAUUUCGAGUAAAAAAUUAAGAGUAGAAAAGUUUUUUUUUAAAAAGAAAAAAUUUGUCAAAAGAAAGAAAAGAAAAGAGUGUCAAAAAAAGCAAAGUCAGAAAAUCUCAAAAGAAGAAAGAAAGAAAUCAGAAUCAAACAAAAAAAUCAGUUUUCAGAACUACCGUGACCUGAUUCUCCUCUAUUGGGGGUGAGAUACGUAGGCUGCCUUACUCUGGGCUCGAUCUAACCAAAUAAACAAUUUAGAAUUGCCCAGUAAAAAAGAACUGGGGCAUGAAUUAAUUUUCAUUAUUUGAGUCGAUUCCAAAAGUUGUAAGUCCCACCUCACUUCAAGUGUCGUUUGGGCCUCAUGACAUCCUUUCUUUCUAACCAUAUCUAAAAGCCCAGUUACAAUAAAAGAAAGACCUUUAGAUCAAUCUUUGAAAAUGUUAAGGCCAAGCAUGUAAUGGAUAUGAUGAUGCACUUGGGUACUACUUGUCUUUUGCAGCAUAAGGAACCAGAAGAGAAAUAAAAAUGAGAGAGUCUUAUUGGUGAAAACCCUCACGGGAACCAUAAGAUGAUGGUAAGUUGAGAGAGAUAAAAAUGAGAUAGUCUUAUUGGUGAAAACCCUUACGGGCACUGUAAAACGACUGUGAGUUGAGAGAAAUAAAAAUAAGAAAGUGUCAUUGGUGAAAAACCCUCUCGGAUACCAUAAGGCAAUAAUGAGAUGAUAAAAAUAAAAUGAGAAAGGCUUGUUAGCGAAAACCCUUCUAGGUGCCACUAGCCGAAUGAGGUCUUCGAAUGCAAUUGACCCAAGGAAACAACUCAGUUUCAGAGUCAUUAACUCAACAACAGUUUGUGAGAGUUUUGGAUAGAAAGAUCAGGCAGUUUAAUCCGAUAUGCAUGUCAUAAUCAUUAGAGUUGACUGUCAUCUCCAGAUAAACUUUUAUUUUAUAUUUUUCAAUGGGGGACAUUCAUUGUCGUUUCUUUCUUCUCUAUAGUUAUAUUUUUAUUUUCUUGAGUCAGUCAUCCAAAUAAAACAAAAAUUAUUGUCAAUUUCCUCUUGUCUUUGAGUCAAGUCCAUGUCAAAACAAGUGAGAAAGGAUUUCAAAACUGGCUACCAUCUUUUUUAAUUGCACAAAGCAAGAUAAAAGGCCAGCACAUAAAAGAGAUAUGAUUGUGAGCUGAAAUAACGCAUGCAGAAAGUUUUGUCAACAGACAAGUCUGGGAACUCAUGGAACUACCAAGGUUCAAAGGGUUUAUUUGAGAAAGCAUGUCAAAGAAAGGAUACUGUGUUUGUUUCGGAGUCGCUCUUAAUAAUCUGAGUUUAGGUCAAUGACUAGACAAAACUAGGACAACAGUCAAGAAUCUGAAAUAAAAUGAAGGGAAUGAACACUGGAGCAGGUGCUUGAAAAGCCAAGUACUACAAUCCACCACUAAGUUUUUAACUAAUAAAUUUUAUUUGUUGAAACAGGGGAAAAAUUUGCUUAACUUAAUUCAGGACCCUCCUGGAAAAUGGAAAUUUAUUUUAUGUUCAGGAUCCUCCUGAAAAAUGAGAAUAUACUUUAUGUUCAGGACCCUUCUGGAAAAUGGAAAUUUACUUUAUGUUCACGACCCUCCUGGAAAAUGAAACUUUACAUUAUGUUCAGGACCCUCCUGAAAAAUGAGAAUUUACUUUAUGUUCAGGACCCUCCUGAAAAAUGAGAAUCUAUUUUAUGUUCAGGACCCUUCUGGAAAAUGAGAAUUUACUUUAUGAUCAGGACCCUCCUGGAAAAUGAGAAUUUACUUUAUGUUCAGGACCCUCCUGGAAAAUAGAAAUUUACUUUAUGUUCAUGACCCUCCUGGAAAAUGGGACUUUGCUUUUGUUCAGGACCCUCCUAGAAAAUGGGACUUCAUUUUUCAGAAAAAUGGAAUCUUUCUUUAUCAUAAUCUUUAUUUGGGUUAAUUUUCGUUCUAGUUUUGAAAUUAAUUUUAGGAGCUCGUCUGGAGAACAGGGUGAAGAAAUUAAAAGUCAGGAAUCCGUCUGAAUAAUAGUGUGAUGAAAUUGAAAGUCAGGAGCCCUUCUGAAAAAUAGGGCGGAGAAAUUAAAAGUCAGGAGCCCGCCUGAAGAAUAGGGUGGUGAAAUUGCAAGUCAAGAGCCUGCCUGAAAAAUAGGAUGAAGAAAUGAAAAAACAAGCAACAAUGUGAAAAAUUACAAGUCAGGAGCCCGCCUGAAGAAUAGGGUGAGGAACUCCAAAUUCAAGUUAAAGAUCAGAGAUACCACUUGUAGAACAUGUUCAAUUUUGAGUCCAUCUCCAACACCGAAUUUUGUAUGUUCAAGUUCAGCCAAAAGAAGAUCAGAUCUCUUGUCAUUUUUGAAAGCAUCAGAGACUCAAGACAAGAAUCAAGAGAUACUGCAUAGAUAGGACUUUUUGUAAUUUAAUUUAUCUUUUAACUUAAAAUUUUUAUUUUUAUUGUAAUAUCAGAGCUGAGGAUCAAAAACUUGAUAGGACCUCGCUCGACUCUCCAACUCGGUAUAGUCCUUCUCCUUCCAAUCCUUUGAGAAUACCUGUUACCUGACUCUCACCUAAUCUGGGAUAGGUAUGUAAUAUCCCGUACUUUAACUAGCUUGAAAAGUUUCCCAAGAAUGUUAGAAGCCUUCUUUGAAAGAUGAAUCCACUUUUGUACACGUGAUAUUUUAAAGAUUUUCACUUUUUAUCAUGUGGGGAAUCUAAUAAGCUUUCCAUCGAUACCAAAUUUGCCCAAAUCCGACACUCGAUUGAAAAGUUAGAGCCUUUUUAGUGAGACAGUAUAUCACCUGAGCCUUCAGCGCGUUGCGGAGAUAGCUUAAAUGGAAAUUGUCAAUUUCCAGUGUUUCUCUGUGAUAGUGGUGUGUCGCGCCAAAUUCCAGGUCACAGACAAGGUAGCAACGCGAUAGCUCCGCGUAGUGCCACUGUGCAAUUUCCCAUUUGUCACUUUCCAGUGACUUGGCGCGAUCGUGGCGCAUCGCGCCAAGGAUGAAAAUCAGGAAAUUUUAUUAGAAAUUAAAUACGUGUCCGAGGGUUAAAAAUGUAAAUUUUCCACCCUAUAUAAGCCUUAUAACACAAGAUUUGGCCAUAAUUCAGCAUCUUAUACUCAAUUACUCUAAAAAACUCUCAAGAACAAGCCCUAGAAUUUUCAUAGAAGGUUCAAUUCCAAGGGAAUUCACUGUUAAAUUUCAAGAUUCUCUCCUUCAGUCUUUGUAGAAGCACAAGAUGAGGUAUGCAUAGUGUUCAUUCAUGGACUCCGUUCGUCCAUGAAGUCCAAGAAUCUCUUUUCAAAUUCAAGUGUAUAGAGAAUUUCAUGUUGGGUUUGUGUUGCUCAUGUUGAUAAUGACCAAUUGAGUUUUAAUCCAUGUUUGGUGAUAAAUUUCAUGUGGAAUUGACUAGUAAAGAUGUUGAUUCAUGUAAACCUAGGAUUAAAACCCUUGGAUGAUGAAAUUAGGUAUGAAUCAUAAUGUUUUGAUUGUUGUAUAAUGUUGUCUACAUAUAUUAUGCCUACCAUCGGUUUGAUUAAAUGCCUAUACGAAGGAAAAGUGCCCAACUAGCAUGAUAUUAAGAAAUUCCCAUGUUUGUACAAGUUUAUGCAUAUCACAUGUUUGAUGAAGUGCUUUAAUAUAUGAAUUAUGAAUCACGUUAUUGGUCAUGUGUUAACGUAAGUCAUGCUAUGUCAGUUUCUUUCUAUCGAGUCCUGGGGGUACUUGUACCCGAUAAUUUAGUUGUGUGCCUAGAGCCAUUUCAUGUUUUCAAGAUACUCUCAGUCAAGCUAUGAUCCAUAGAACUCAGUCAGUCAUGUGACUCAGGAAAACCCAAAAAUCUCAGUAAUCUCAGUAGUUCAGUAAUCUCAGUGAUCUCAGUACUCAGUAAUCUCAGUAACCUCAGUAUUCCCAGUCAAUCUCAGUAACUUCAGUAUUCUCAGUCAGUCCUUAGAAUUCAGUUCCGUCAGUCAACGAGACUCAGUAAAUUUAGUUUAGCUCUGCUAAAUAAUACCACUAGUAUCAGUCUAGUUCAGCUAAUCAGUUUAGUUUAGUUAAUCAGUUCAGCUCAAUUAAUCAUUUUAGUUUCUUUCAUAUGGGAGUAUGAUUCAGCACCAAGUGAGCCUAGGGAUGAGUAUUCACCCGCUAAAUAGGACUGAGUUCCCUAGAAGUAAUCCCUAAGUUUCAGAACUACGUAGCCAGCGUAGGUAUGAGAUAUCACUCGUUAGAUAGGAUUGACAUACUCAGGGAUCACCCGUUAGCGCAUUUAAAUGUAUAGGACUGAUCCCAAGGAUCACCCGCUAAAUUAAGACUGACUCCACAGCAGUUGUCUUUACUAGUGGCGCGGUACUGAUACCCUUCCAGCUGGGGUUACAGGUUGGACCCCAGUUAGCUUAGUAUGGGGCAUGUCAGUUAGAUGAAUACUUCCCACAGUUACAGUUUUAGUAUCAAUCUUUAGAAAUCAAGACUGUCAAAUACAGUCAUCUAUAUCAAUGAGGAACUCAAAUAGUUCCAUUGAUUCAUGGACCACCCAUCAGAUAGGCUUGGUCCCAUAUAAAGUUAUUCAUUAUCAAAUCCCGAGAUCACCCGUCAGAUGGGCUUGAUCUCAGUCUCAUAUUCAGUUGAGUAAUCUCAUUAUCAGAUCUAGCGAUCACCAAUCAGAUAGGCUUGAUCUCAGUCUCAGAUUCAGUUGAGUAAUCUCAUUAUCAGAUCCCGAGAUCACCCGUCAGAUAGGCUUGAUCUCUGUCUCAAAUUCAGUUACUCAUAUAUAGUACGAAACUCAGCUAGUUCCAUCAGAUUCAAGGCUGUCAGAUACAGUCACUCAUGUUAUCAGUUAUAUUAGUUAUCUGAACUCAUGUUAUCUGUAUUCAGCUUCAGGACUGUUAGACACAGUCAACCAGACCAGUUUUUUAUAAUCAGAACUGUCAAAAAUAGUUAUUCAUGUAUUAGUAACAUAGUAUUAGUCCCUCAGAUAUCAGUAAUUCCAUGUUAUUAGUAAACUCAGUAGUCAGAAUUUAGCAUUCAAUCUUAUCACGAUGUCAGUUAUAGUUAUGUAUGCAUGCAUGUAUUCUCACGUUCAUGUUAGUCAGUCAGUUAGUAUUGUUCAUGCAUAUGAACCUAUUGCAUUCAGCCUACCUCACUUGCAUACUAGUACAUUCAAAGUACUGACGCAUUUGCGCUAUGGUGUCUUAUACCAUAGGUUUAGAAGCACGAUCUCCAGAGAACCAGUAGCAUCCUAGUUCAACGAUCAGAGUUAGCAGUGAGUCCUCAUCCUUCUAGGACAUGAUGAUCAUAUUACUAUUUCAGUUUUCAGUUUAUUUCAGUAGUUGGAGUUAGUUGGGGACAUGUCUCAUCAACUCCUUAUUCAGACAGUUUAGAGGCUUUCAGACUACAGUAUGUUCAGAUAAUUAUCUCAGUUAUUUUUGUAUUAUUAUACCAUAUUUUACAGUUAUGUACUAGUAUUGAACCUUAUGGCCUUUCAGUUCAUGUUUCUGCAUUUAUGAUAUUAUUACUAUUAUUUAGUGCUCAGUUUACAGAUAUCAGUCUUGGGUUAGCUUGUGGUCCUUCAGGGUCAUGGGCACCAUGUAGUGUUUCGAGUACCAGAUUCGGGGCGUUACAAGGUAGGACGCCCAGAAUCAAGAUUCGAUUACACUCCAUCUUUUUUCAUCAUUCUUCUGAAUAAUGGUCGAUCUAAAUUUUUAUCUCGUUGUCUACUUCUUUGUCUAGAAACACUUUGUGUUUACAUCCAAAGAGGGGCAUAAUGUAGAUAUGUAAUUUUGUCCGUAUCCAAAAUUAAUUUUACUCAUUUUUACCUCUCAUUAUCUACCCCUACCCUACCCCUACCUAUUCCCUACCCCAUCUAAUACAACAACCAUUUGAAUACUCACCUAACACACUACCAUAUUUUUCUUUCACACCCACAACAAUAAUACAAACAACACACCAAAGAAAAACUCCAAUUUUAUUCACAGUAACGGACGACUACAAUAAUAUAUCACACACCAACACACAUCUUUUAUCCAUAGAUUUUCACACUUCACACAUAAUUAUAUACAACAGCAACCAUACACACCAUACCCAUUAACAACAUAACAAAAGCACAUACACAGUGACUCAUGGAAACUAGUAAAACAUAGCAAAGGAGUGAGAGAUUUGAGAAAAUCGAGAAAAAAAGACAGAGAGGGGAUAAAGAUCGAGUGAGAGAGAGUGAUAAAAUAACGAGUUGAACAAAAUGGGGAGAAAAUUCUCUUUGAUGGAAUUUUCAUCGGAGCUGCCAUAUCCAUCGGCAAUCAAGCUCCUGACCAAAAUCCAUCAUAUUUCUAUCCAAACCCAUCUGAAAAACACUGAAAUCAACCUAAUCUACCCAACUUUGAUGAAAUCGAUCAGAAAACAUGCGAUACAGUGACAUCGUGCGGGAGUUAGGUACGAUUUUCUCUGUCAAUUUAUUUUUUUUGGGGUUCGAGUUAGCGAUAAACAAAAAGAGGAAUGGAUUGAAGCCGAGUUUGAUCAUUCCGUUGAGGUUUGGUUUGAGAUUUUAACCACGGAUCCAGUCGAACGACUCUUUCUCUGUUUAAUUGAAAGAAAAUCUUCAAAUUGAGGUCCAAUUCUAAUCUUUUCCUCUUUUAUUUUAUUGUCCAUGAUAUUUAAUUGGUGAAAUUAAAUAUUUGUGUAUUAGUUGAUCUCUGUUGGUGAUGAAUUCAUGUUACAUGAAGUUUGUUUUGUGUGAUUUUGUGAUGUUUGAAUCAUGAAUGUUAGUUAAUGUUGGAUUCAGAUUUUUGAAUAUUCGAAUAGAUAGUUGUUGAUUAACUUAAUCAUUGAUGGAAGAUAAAGUUGGUGGUGAAAAUUGAAAAGCGAUAAAAAUAAAUAUUGCCUCGGAUUGGUGCAUUGAUUGAGUUGAUUUAAAAUGAACAUUAAUCUUAUAGAAUUAGAUAGUAUCAUGUUUAGGACGACAAUUGAUAGGAGAAUUUUAGGUUCGGGUAGGUAACUCAUAGAAUUCUAUAUCAUUGAAUACGUGAAUGUCUGUGUUGAAUGAUUUCUCCAUUUUUACCAUAUUUGGAUCAAUUGUACUAUUUGGCUGGGGAAUGCCUCGAAGUAUCUGUAUAUAUUUAUUCACCGGGGAAUGCCCCGAGGUAUCUUGUAUCCGAAAGACAUUUGUGAUGAAGGCUCAAGGUGUCGGGUAGAGCAUUAUUCUAGGAUUAGUUUAGAAUAUGGUUUACAUUUCUGCAUUUUUCUAUUUCUGGACUGUAUAAUUUGGACUGGACAUUGUGUUGGAUUUGUUAUGUUUGAUUGCUUGUUUUGUGUUUAUGUGUUUGUGUGGUUUAUAUAUUUUAUAGUUUCAAAUUAGUCGAUAUAGAUCAUGGAGUGACCGUGAUCGAACCACGGGAUUGAGGAGUGUCUAACACCUUUUCCCUCGAUCAACAGAAUUCCUUAACCAUAAUCUCUGUUCGCGGAUCAGUUUUAUAGUCAAACCAUUUUGAAAAAGGAUUUCCAAAG
rnacentral:lncRNA from 1 species